rnacentral:rRNA from 1 species
UAGGGAAUCUUCCACAAUGGGCGCAAGCCUGAUGGAGCAACACCGCGUGAGUGAAGAAGGGUUCGGCUCGUAAAGCUCUGUUGUUGGAGAAGAACGUGCGUGAGAGUAACUGUUCACGCAGUGACGGUAUCCAACCAGAAAGUCACGGCUAACUACGUGCC